rnacentral:ncRNA from 1 species
UCUUAAUCGUUUGUCGACGGUUCCCUUCGGGGAUCAAAAGGGAAUGCGGUGCGAGGGAAACCCCAAUGCCGCAGCUGUCCCCGCAACUGUAAACGGCGAGCCUUUCGUCAAUUUGCCACUGGGCUGUCAGGCCCGGGAAGGCGUCGACAGGCGAUGACCCGUGAGCCAGGAGACCUGCCGUCAGUCGUGGUCACAC